ACAAGACUAUUCGCCAGAGAACUACUAGCCAUUGCUUAAAACUCAAAGGACUCGGCGGUGCUUUAUACCCCUCUAGAGGAGCCUGUUCUAUAAUCGAUAAACCCCGCUUAACCUCACCACUCUUUGCAAUAUCAGCC
rnacentral:rRNA from 1 species